rnacentral:lncRNA from 1 species
CGGGAAGCAGGAGCCCUAACAAUGAAAUAAUACGAUAGAAGGGAGUCCUCUCUGAUGAUUCCAUGGAGCCACCACGGCAGCGAUGGGAUGUCUACCUCUGACUUCAUGAUACACAAGUGAAGGGACAACCACAAGCUCAUCCUCAGAGGUAAACUGAAGUCAAUAAUUCACACUUGGCUGAUGAAUCUUCAAGGUAUUAAUCUUCUCCUGGUAUUUUCGGUAUUUCUUCUCCAUCCACUUGGCAAUUCAA